rnacentral:misc_RNA from 1 species
UUCAUCUAACAAACGUUUAUACAAAAGCAGGACAAGGGGAAAAUGCAAAGUUUCAAGAAACAUGUUAAAUGAAAUCUGAAUCACUCCUGAAAUGCUCGAGGUCUGGAUGAGUGUCCCUUCCAGGCCUGCGUGGGUUUCUAACAAAUCGGUUAGGCUCAAAACCAGGAACCCCAGGUGGACCAUAGGGAUCAAAACGAGCACCUGGAGGAACACCCGGUUGUCCACCAGGAAAAUUUGACUCUCCACCAAACCAAUGAGGAUCAUUAGGCCCUAGAAGCAUGCUCCCACCAGUGCCAAAGCCACCCCUCAUUGGAUACAUUCCACCACCAGGACCAGGAAAAAGAUCACUACCACCAACUGGAUUUACAGGAGGAUAUAUAAUUCCUGAAGGUUGAAUUUGAUGAAUUUGAGGACCUGUUGGCUCAGUAAUUCGAAUUCCAGGUUCUUUUAUGUCACGCCUUGAGCCAUCAUUUGGUCGAUUGCUUGAGGAGCUCGCUUUUGAAGAGGAACCAUCCAGUUUAGACAAAAUUUCCGCAUCAAUAUUCUUAACAAGCUUGUCCAUAUUCUUGAACUGAGCUGAAUAAUUUGCGCCUCCAUUCUCCCCAACAAAGUCGACUACAUCGAUUUCUAGAUGGACCGGCUCUGACGCCCCGUCAGCCAAAGCAUCGAUAAGCAAUUUAUCGUUCAUGACCAAACACUUCAUUAACACCUUGUUUCCACCCUUCUCGGCGUUUAAAUACACGAAAGCAUAUUCAUUAUCGGAAUCGUUCCAGCGCUCAAUCCCUACCUCAUCAGUAGAGGGAGAGUAAAGGGCAGUAUCGGAGAAAGCAGGCGGUCCAGUGGCGGUGAGCACGUAACCGGCGGCGAGGAAAGAGGCGUGAACGGCAAAAACAACCUUAUCGGCACUGUUCUUAAAAGAUGGCCUGGCGGCCCUAAUCACCGCCAUUACAGACUUCUCGUCAGCC